rnacentral:rRNA from 1 species
GACGAACGCUGGCGGCGUGCCUAAUACAUGCAAGUCGAGCGCAGGAAAUCGACGGAACCCUUCGGGGGGAAGUCGACGGAAUGAGCGGCGGACGGGUGAGUAACACGUAAAGAACCUGCCCUCAGGUCUGGGAUAACCACGAGAAAUCGGGGCUAAUACCGGAUGGGUCAUCGGACCGCAUGGUCCGAGGAUGAAAGGCGCUUCGGCGUCGCCUGGGGAUGGCUUUGCGGUGCAUUAGCUAGUUGGUGGGUAAUGGCCCACCAAGGCGACGAUGCAUAGCGGACCUGAGAGGGUGAUCGGCCACACUGGGACUGAGACACGGCCCAGACUCCUACGGGAGGCAGCAGUAGGGAAUCUUCCACAAUGGACGAAAGUCUGAUGGAGCAACGCCGCGUGAACGAUGAAGGCCUUCGGGUCGUAAAGUUCUGUUGUAAGGGAAGAACAAGUGCCGCAGGCAAUGGCGGCACCUUGACGGUACCUUGCGAGAAAGCCACGGCUAACUACGUGCCAGCCGCCGCGGUAAAAC